GCAUGAGCAGAAGGAUUCUGAACAAAAUGUUGGUGCUCCUAAAGUAGAAGUAGUAAGUGUGAUUCAGAUUCUUACCCAUAGUGAAAGGGUUGGCCAAACUUCUAUGGCAGCUACUCCCGGGGCUUCUCUUCCUGCUAGCAGUAAUAAUCCUAACCAAGCAGCCCCUGAUCUUAGUAAUUCAACUUCUCAAAAUCAUCAAGCGGAGGUCUGUGAUGAAUUUGAUCCCCACGGUUCUGUUUCAGAACAAGAGCAGACGAGCCAACAAGAAGUCAGAGAAGAAACUACGCCAAAGCCGCAACUAUGAAGAUCAAGCAGGCAGCGGAAUUGGAACACAGUGCGCAGACCACUACCUGAAUCCAAGCUUUUUCCCUGCCCCUUAACUUGGAGCUGCUCGACCUAUAGUCCGAGGGUUUAGUAAUUUAAAUGGGGAUACUAUUUUUGGGGAGCUAAACCAUUUGUGGUUAUUUACAUACUAGUCAUAGUUUUAAAUUAAAACAUAAAUGACUAUUUUGGUGACUUAUUUUAGUUUUGAUUUUUAUAUGCUCAAUUCAAAUGAAUUUACUGGUUGAAGUUCCAUGUGAUUGUAUGGAACAAACUCCUUGUUUUGAGGGACUUAACUCAUCAAUUACAGCUGCUCCAACUACUGCUUCUGCUGCAGUAGUUGUCCCUACCACUGCGGUUCUCUUUGCUUCGACCAAUGCUGAAACAGACUUAUUGGAUGUUCUGUCUGAUUCAUUUGCCAUCAUCCCUAUUACAGCUGAAAACCAUGCUACUGAUUCUGAUGCCCGUGUCAACUCCAGUGCUAUGACCACCUUUGCUACCAAUCAAUCUCAUCUAAUUUUGGA